GUCAGGCGGUCCCGCCAGUCGCGGACGGUCCC
rnacentral:scRNA from 1 species